ACUUGAUAGAAGUUAGAUUGAAUUUAUUUCAUUAUACCUAAGAAUCAAUUGAUAUAACUUGAACUGUAAUUUGCCUUUUUUUUUUUUUUUUUUCCUCAUCAGAUGAAACCUUUUUACCAGGGUCAUUUCUAAUUGUAGGACUUGUGCUUGUAGAAGAAAAUAAAUGCUUUGGAGCACAACUGGGAUUUUGCUUAUAUCUAGAGUGUGAUGAAAAGGGUGAAAAAGCAGGGGAAAUGAAGGCCCUAUCACCACCUCUUCCAGUAAGGCUUGUACAACAGACUGAUUAAAUGAGAAAGGGAAAAUUAUACUAGUCUAAACAUAGUCUCCUCAUUCAAGUUUUUAACAGAGUUGCAACAAAUUCUGAGCUGCCCAGGAAUUGCCAAGAUAUGACCUUUUUAAUUCUUCAGACAAUGGGGAAAAAAGAUCAAUCUAAAAAGGCUUCAGGGGCUCCUACCAUUUUCUAAGAUGUGAAAUGGCUGCAAUGAGAAAACUGUCCAUAUCUGCAUAAUUCAUACCAGUGAAAGCAGAUCUACAGACAUUUAGUAGCAAUCAAUCACUUAUACUUGCUGUACUAUGUUAUCAAAGGCCUUUGAUCAGCUCAUAUGGUAAUAGCUGGGAAACAGCUCAUUCCUUAUGAAAUGUAGCAGAAUUUCCUUUACUUUUCCUUCCUGAAUUCUGAAAGCACAAUGCCAAGCUGAAUAUCUUCAGUGUCAAUGGAGAUUGAAAAAUAUUUCUUCUGGAGAGUAGGAUGCAAAGUCCCACCAACAACAUCACAGUUGGCUUCUCCUUUUACAGAGCAGCAGUGCUCAAGCCCAGCUCAGAUUGCAGAGUAUCUAUCCCUUUGGCUUCAGGGAGCUGUUAUGAGAUUUUCAGUGGGGGCACACAUCAGCAUCAGUGUCAUUUGCUCUCGUCUACUUCAGACUCUAAAACAGCAGCUGCAGGAGAUGCCAUGGGCAUUCCACAACUCCUCUGCCUCCAAUUGCUCUCUGGUGCUUCUCUGAAGCAUUAAUGAGAGAGGAGAUGCUGUCUCCCAAGGUGGUGGGUGCUAAAAGAUAGUUACUGAAACAGGUUGAGAUGCGUCUCUGCUCUGUCCUUCUGGAAUAAUUAGAGUGGCAAGAAGUAGGAUGUUGCACAAGGGAAGUUUAUUCGUGUCUCUCUCAUAUGUCUGUAUUAAGUUAGGAAUGUGAUCAAUUCUAGGUAAGUUCAGAUAAAUUUUCUAUUAUGCUAGGAUUUGAAAAUAAAAACAAAAAACAACAAAUUAACUGUUACUGU
rnacentral:lncRNA from 1 species